CAAUGUGUCUUGUCAUAGUAGAACUGUCCUCCUCACCCUUGACUGACCCUGAGGGUGUGUUUGUAAUCCUCACCAUGGAACCACUUGCUUAUUGCUUUUGAAAUAGCUCUUUGAAAGGCUGGUUUGCAAAUGUACUCUUGUACUAGUGAGGGGAUGUUUCCCUGGAAUAAUGAGAAAUCUCUCUGUCCUGCUUUUAUAGAAAAACAAAACAAAACAAAACAAAAAAGCACCCACUCCCGAUUCGUUCAAGUAGGAGAAGCUUGGAACUGCACAAAACUUGCCUUUCUGAGGCUCACACGGACUAUAAAUGUGAGAAGCCAUCAGAAGCUAACAACAGCAGGAAAUGUCAAGGUGAGUUACAGGGGUGUGGGAGAGGUUGAGACCAGAUUGUUAGGCAGUCAGGGAUUGUGAUGUCUCAAGAGCAAAUGAAGUUGUGAAAAAAAGUUGGGAAUGGUGUACCAAAAACUUUUGGGGAGAGGAAGGGAGAGAGAGAUCCCCUUGAUUCCCCAACAGUUUGCACCUGGCCAGAUACUAGAGAGGGUAGCCUUCCAAGUAAGGGUCUGAAUGUGAAUGUCACAGCAGCUUGGAGCAGGUGUUCCUGGUCGCGAGCAUCAGGACUGUGAGAGGAUCAAAGAACACCAUGCAGAACAGGCAGGUUUUGGAGAAAGAAUGGGCUGAGGAGAAACCUGUGAAUGAAAAUAUGGAGUGGCGGGCGUGGUGGCGCACACCUUUAAUCCCAGCACUUGGGAGGCAGAGACUAAGCACAACCACUUCCUGGCUGCUUAAGUUUUUCUUUCUUUUCUCUCUUUCUUCUUUCUUUUUUUUUCUGAGAC
ensembl:lincRNA Gm26964 predicted gene, 26964